UGUGCUUUCCCAGUGACCCUCACUCAGCAAGUGACGUGAGCUGAAGCCCUGCAGUGUUGUUAACAGACAAUGGCAAAAGAUGAACCAGGAGCUACUAGAGCACAACAAACCAGUCCACUUUUCCUUUACGGCUUCUGGCUGCUUUAACAGCCUCUCCCAAGUGGAGAUGGAACCCAGAACCUUGCCCAUGCAUCACUGAUGGUGGAAUCAUCUCACUGAAGUUCAC
rnacentral:lncRNA from 1 species